GUGGAUAAGAAGAGAGGUAGUAGGUAAGAUAGAGAGAGAGAGUUAUUAGGAAGUGGGAGAAGAGAAAAGAAAAGAAAGAAAGAGGAAAAGAGGAAAAGAGGAAGAAGAGAAGAAGAGGAAGGAAGGAAGAAGAUGGAAAAGCUCAUGAAGAUCAUGUUCAUCACCACCAUCAUCUCAUCUUCAUCAUCACCAAUUGCAUCUCCAUUUCAAAACUUUCAUCUUCAAGGUAUUCGUUAAUGGUUGAAUUCAAUAGAAGCUGUUUAUGGAUGUUUCAAGGGACACAAUUAUUUGGAUCUUCCGCUGUGGAGUUGUGUGCAAUGAAGAUAUUGCACAUAGUUCUUAGAUUUUUAUUGUUUAGGCACUAUUGUAUAACAUGUUCCAUUGAUGUUUUUAGUUUGGACAUGUGUAUAUAUUGAUGCCAUUAGGCACUUAUGUUGGAUCAGUACCAAUUAUUAACACUUGUAUGAUAUUAUUCUAAAUAUAUAUUAUACGGGUUGUUACAA